AUGUAGUGUGACAUGCCCGUUUGGGAUUUACUCUGAUUUAUAAUUAUCAUUUAAUUGAUUUUGGGCAACGGGGUGUUACAAAA
rnacentral:pre_miRNA from 1 species